CUUUAGUGGCGAACGGGUGCGUAAUACGUGAGAAUCUGCCCUUAGGAGGAGUAUAACUGUUGGAAACGACUGCUAACACUCCAUAUGUCGAGAGAUGAAAUAAUUUAUUGCCUAAGGAUGAGCUCGCGCCUGAUUAGCUAGUUGGUGAGGUAAUGGCUCACCAAGGCCACGAUCAGUAGCUGGUUUGAGAGAACGAUCAGCCACACUGGGACUGAGACACGGCCCAGACUCCUCCGGGAGGCAGCAGUGAGGAAUUUUCCGCAAUGGGCGAAAGCCUGACGGAGCAAUACCGCGUGAGGGAUGAAGGAUUUUGGUCUGUAAACCUCUUUUCUCAAGAAAGAAGUUCUGACGGUACUUGAGGAAUAAGCAUCGGCUAACUCCGUGCCAGCAGCCGCGGUAAUACGGGGGAUGCAAGCGUUAUCCGGAAUCAUUGGGCGUAAAGCGCCUGUAGGUUGUUUAAUAAGUCUGUUGUUAAAGACUAGGGCUCAACCCUAG
rnacentral:rRNA from 1 species